rnacentral:lncRNA from 1 species
UGGGUCAUGAGAUGGAUGACAACAAAGCAAAGAAGACUGAAGAGUGGUUAGGAAGAUGGAAGGAGAAUAAAGAUGAAGGAUUCAGAGAAAUUAAGGAGUAUAUUCAGGAGAUGGGAGUGAAAGACUGUCGACUAAGAGUUUACAGUCUGAUUUCUAUAUGGAAAGAAAGGGAGAAGUCAGUUUGACAAGAGACCACUUGGAAAAAUGCUAUGCUCUGACCAGUGCCAAUCUGCCUGAAGGCAUCAAAACAAUUAGGUAACUAAAGUGGGGAAAUGAGCACAAAGAGAAUAGGUUCUAUUUACUGAGAGUCAUGAGGAGAAAAAAUCAAGCAUAUCUGAGACUUCCAUCUAUGAGGAAUUCCAUUUGGCUGGUGAACUUAUGGAAGCUACUUUUCAUUUUAGUCCACAGUUUUAAGAUAAAGAAUGAAAGACUCUCACUGGCUAUCCCUCUUUAGUCUAAGACCCAGGAUAAUCAUUACUGUCUCUUGCCCAUUCCUUUCCACAGUCUGUGGGUGUGAAUGAUUUGGAAGUAUUUCUUAUUGGCAUCAAGGACUCAAGGAUCAGAGGAGAGAAAAAGGAAAGACAUAAUGAAGCAAACUCAUAUAUUUCCUUUGUAUUUGUUUCCAUAUUAUUAAAACUGAUGUGAUCACAA